GUGUAGUAUUUUUAGAUCUAUGUUAUUACAAAUAAACAACAAGAAACUUACUUUUUCUUUUCAAAUCGCAGAUAGUAGAACGACAGGGGAUGGGAGCGGGCAGGGUUUAAACCCUGGACCACUGACAAAUCUGAACGACAGUCCAGCGCGCAAACCGCACGACCAAAAAAUGUUAAGAAAUUACCAGAGAAAAACACAAGGCUCGUAUGGUCAACAUUCUUGACAGGAGCUUUAAAAGCUAUCGCUGAUGGGAUGCCACUUAACAAUGUCUCCGAAAAAAUUACAUUUAUAAUUAUUAAAUAUUUCACUUAUACUUUUUAAA